UACGUAGGGUGCGAGCGUUGUCCGGAAUUACUGGGCGUAAAGAGCUCGUAGGUGGUUUGUCGCGUUGUUCGUGAAAUCUCACGGCUUAACUGUGAGCGUGCGGGCGAUACGGGCAGACUUGAGUACUGCAGGGGAGACUGGAAUUCCUGGUGUAGCGGUGAAAUGCGCAGAUAUCAGGAGGAACACCGGUGGCGAAGGCGGGUCUCUGGGCCGAAAUUGACGCUGAGGAGCGAAAGCGUGGGGAGCAAACAGG
rnacentral:rRNA from 1 species